UACAGAGGUCCCAAGCGUUGUUCGGAUUCACUGGGCGUAAAGGGUGCGUAGGUGGUGAGGUAAGUCGGAUGUGAAAGCUCGGAGCUCAACUCCGAAAUGGCAUUGGAAACUACCCUGCUAGAGGAUUGGAGGGGGGACUGGAAUACUUGGUGUAGCAGUGAAAUGCGCAGAUAUCAGGAGGAACACCGGUGGCGAAGGCGGGUCUCUGGGCCGAUACUGACGCUGAGGAGCGAAAGCGUGGGGAGCGAACAGG
rnacentral:rRNA from 1 species